ACGUAGGGGGCAAGCGUUGUCCGGAAUUAUUGGGCGUAAAGAGCGUGUAGGCGGCCGUACAGGUCAGCUGUGAAAACUCGAGGCUCAACCUCGAGACGUCGGUUGAAACCGUACGGCUAGAGUCCGGAAGAGGAGAGUGGAAUUCCCGGUGUAGCGGUGAAAUGCGCAGAUAUCGGGAAGAACACCCGUGGCGAAGGCGGCUCUCUGGGACGGUACUGACGCUGAGACGCGAAAGCGUGGGGAGCGAACAGG
rnacentral:rRNA from 1 species